AUGUCUGAGAAUCAUAGCUCAGAGCAGGUUCUGGAAGUUUCCGGAGCUCAGAACAACAACUCUCUUGACCCGAAUCCGGAUCGUGCAAUCCGGGCACCAGAAGAAGCUAACGGGUACGACCAUGACCGAGUCAAUCAGGUAAUGAAUUUAUGAUUGGUUGAAAGCGUAGCAAUUUUGAUUUGAUGUGAGAAAUGGUUUAUAAUUUGUGCAUAUUAGUGAAGAGGUUGAGAAAUGAUUGCAGGAACCGGCGUUAUUGCCGGUGAUGGGUCGUGCUGAAAGCGAUAAUGAUAAUGGGGUUUCGGAGGAGGAAGAGGGGGGCGAUUUUGUUGACUGCUCGGACGAGUUGGUUUCGAGUGCUGAGAAGGAAGCAGCAGUUGUAGCAGUAGUGAGGGAAGAAUCGGGUGAUGGUGGGGUUCGAGGAGUCGAAAACGGGGUGUUGGAUGGUUACGGGAUGGACGAGCAGCCGGAACAACAACAACGACGAAUGAGCAAUGCAUGGGAAUACAAGGUCGAAAAAUGUUGUUUAGUUGGGUAGUUUUGUUUAGUUACUCUUUGUGAUUAUCAAUUCGGUAUCAGAAAUGUUAUGUCCAUAACGUUUUCACAACAAAUUCUAAGUGGCGGGUUGUUACUGGCUUUUACUUAUGAGCACUUCUCUUUUGGUAUUGAUUUGUGACUUUUGGUGUGCAGGAUGAAAGAGAGGCCUUUGCUAGGGAAGUUGCUGAGCUUCGUCAUGGGCUUAAGGCUCUGAUUAAUCAUCAGCAGCCGUUGCUUAGUGAGAAUGAGAGUGGGGAAAAUGAUAAUAGCCCUUUGCUUGAAAUGAUAAAGGAAUGCUCGCUGUUUGCUAAAUUAGCUUCAGAGGAACGUUUGCAGGCUGAGGCGACAAUGAGGGAAAUUCGUGGUGUUGUUAUUACGAAGGAACAAGAGAUUGGAGAUCUCAAUGCACGGGUUUCUGAGUUAUCAGUGUCGAAUGAUGCUGCGGCGUCUUAUUUGAGUUCGGUUCAGAAUUCUUUGGAAGUAUCGUUGGAAAAGGAUCGGCAUGUAGAGGAUGUGGCAAACAGGAUGUUAGCUUCUCUAGCAUCGGUAGGUUAUCUAGAAGAAUCAUUGGAGGAUUCUAUUAGUGGGAAAAUAAUUCAGGUUGAGAAAGGCAACUCUUUGUUGAUUGAGAAGUACAAUCAGAUUCUUUCUGAAAUUGAUCAACUUAGGCAAUGUUUGAACGAGACUGGGGUUGAUAUCAGGGUGCAAGAGGGACAUAGGACAAUUUGUGUUGCUGCACGUGAUGAGUUACUUGAGCUGAAAAGAAAGGAGGAGGAUUUGAUUGAUGAAGUUAGACAUCUAGAGGAUGAAAAUAGGAAAUUAGUGGAACAACUUGACGGGCAUAAAGAAAUGGUUGAGAAAGUGAAUGCGGAACUUGCAAACACAAAAAUAGAAGUUGAGCAGGAGAAGGUUAGGUGUGCUAAUACCAAAGAGAAGCUUACCAUGGCUGUGACAAAGGGAAAGGCAUUGGUGCAACAGAGAGACUCAUUGAAGCAUUCUUUAGCUGAUAAAACAAGUGAGCUUGAGAAAUGUUUGAUUGAAUUGCAAGAGAAGUCUAGCGCAUUGGAGUCUGCUGAACUAAGCAAGGAGGAAUUGGUCAAAAGUGAAAAUUUGAUUGCAUCUCUGCAGGAAACACUAUUCGAAAGGACUUCUGUUCUUGAACAAAUUGAUGAAAUUAUGUCUGAGGCUGGUGUACCUGAGGAACUUCUUUUGAUGAAUAUUAGAGAGAGAUUUAGAUGGCUUGUGGAUGAGAGAAAUGUACUAAAGGGUGUUUCACUGGAGUCUCAAAAAUUGAAAGAUGCUUUUUCCUCGUUUGAUCUACCAGAGACAGUUUCAUCAUCUGACUUGGUAGCUCGAGUGGGUUGGCUGAGGGAGUCAUUUUACCGGGCUAAAGAUGAUGUAAAUAGUUUGCAGGAUGAAAUUGCUAAAACAAGGGAAGCUGGCCAUAAUGAGAUUGACCGCUUAAGUGCUUCACUUUCAACAGCAUUACAGGAAAAGGAUUAUCUUGAGACAGAGUUGGCUGAUCUGAUGAGGAAAUAUGAAGAGAUUGUUGAAAAAGAACAUCAAGUUACAUUGGAGAAGGAUCACUUAAGUGCUUCACUUUCAACAGCAUUACAGGAAAAGGAUUAUCUUCAAACAGAGUUGGCUGAGCUGACGAGCAAAUAUGAAGAGAUUGUUGUAAAAGAACAUCAAGUUACAUUGGAGAAGGACCACUUAAGUGCUUCUCUUUCAGCAGAACUACAGGAAAAGGAUUAUUGUCAAACAGAGUUUGCCAACCUGAUGGGAAAAUACAAAGAGAUUGUUGAAAAAGAGCAUCAAGUUUCAGUGGAAAAGGAUCAGAUAGUGAAAAUGUUGAUUGAGGUUUCUGGAACUGAAAUGGAAAAUGAAGAAGGGGUCUAUCAGACUUUCUCUGACAAUUCCAGUCUUGUUCACAGAUGUUUUGAGAAGAUAAAAAAACAGAACAGUGCCAUUUUGGAUUCUUCCUAUGUUAAUGAAGAAUUGUUUGAAAGAGUACAAAGUCUCUUGUAUGUAAAGGAUCACGAAUUGAUGCUGUGUGAGAAAUUACUCGAAGAAGAGAUGAUGGUGAGAUCAGAGGAAAAACUGUUGAAUGAGUUAAAGUUGGUUUCUGAAGAACUUGUGGCACUGAAAGAGGAAAAGAGUUCUCUAUGGAAGGAUCUUGAAAGAUCAGAAGAGAAGUCUACUUUGGUGGAUAAAUUGUCAAAUGAGUUAAAGUCGGUAUCUGAAGAACUUGUAAUGCUGAAAGAGGAAAAGAGCUCUCUACAUAAGGAUUUUGAAAGAUUGGAAGAGAAGUCUGCUUUGGUGGAAAAACUGUCGAGUGAGUUAAAGUUGGUAUCUGAAGAACUUGUAGCGCUGAAAGAGGAAAAGAGCUCUCUACAGAAUGAUGUUGAAAGAUCAGAAGAGAAGUCCACUUUGGUGGAAAAACUGUCGAAUGAGUUAAAAUUGGUAUCUGAAGAACUUGUAGCGCUGAAAGAGGAAAAUAGCUCUCUACAAAGGGAUCUUGAAAGAUUGGAAGAGAAGUCUGCUUUGGUGGAAAAACUGUCGAAUGAGUUAAAGUUGGUAUCUGAAGAACUUGUAGCACUGAAAGAGGAAAAGAGCUCACUUCAGAAUGAUCUUGAAAGAUUGGAAGAGAAGUCCACUUUGGUGGAAAAACUGUCAAAUGAGUUAAAAUUGGUAUCUGAAGAACUUGUAGUGCUGAAAGAGGAAAAGAUCUCUCUACAGAAGGAUCUUGAAAGAUUGGAAGAGAAGUCUGCUUUGGUGGAAAACCUGUCGAAUGAGUUAAAGUUCGUAUCUGAAGAACUUGUAGAACUGAAAGAGGAAAAGAGCUCUCUAUGGAAGGAUCUUGAAAGAUCAGAGGAGAAGACCGCUUUGGUGGAUAAAUUUUCAAAUGAGUUAAAGUUGGUAUCUGAAGAACUUGUAGCGCUGAAAGAGGAAAAGAGCUCUCUACAGAAGGAUCUUGAAAGAUUGGAAGAGAAGUCUACUUUGGUGGAAAAAGUGUCGAAUGAGUUAAAGUUGGUAUCUGAAGAACUUGUAGCACUGAAAGAGGAAAAGAGCUCUCUACAGAAGGAUCUUGAAAGAUCAGAAGAGAAGUCUGCAUUGGUGAGGGAGAAGUUAUCCAUGGCAGUUAAGAAAGGCAAGGGAUUGGUUCAAGACCGGGAGAACUUGAAAAAGCUUCUGGAUGAAAAGAACUCAGAAAUUCAGAAGUUGAAGCUUGAGUUACAGCAGCAAGAAUCUGCAGUCACUGACUGCAGAGGCCAGAUCAAAACAUUGUCUACUGACGUAGAGCACAUCCCAAAGUUGGAGGCUGAUCUUGCUGCGAUGAAAGAUCAACGUGAUCAACUUGAGCAAUUCUUAUUGGAGAGCAAUAAAAUUUUACAGAAAGUGGUUGAAUCUAUUGAUGGCAUCGUUCUUCCUGUUGAUACAGUUUUUGAUGAGCCGGUAGGAAAGGUGAACUGGCUUUCUGGGUACAUUAAUGAAUGCCAGGAAGCUAAGACACAUGCAGAGCAGGAGUUGGGUAAGGUGAAAGAGGAUGCCAGUACCUUGGUUAGUGAGUUAGCAGAAGCCCAAGCAACUGUGAAAUCACUGGAAGAUGCAUUGUCAGUUGCGGAGAACAAUGUUACUCAACUAGCUGAAGAAAAGAGGGAAUUAGAAGUUGGGAAGACAAAUAUCGAACAUGAGUUACAGAAAGCAGUAGAAGAAGCUAGUUCCCAGACCAGCAAGUUUGUUGAGGCUUGUGCAACUAGGAAGUCACUUGAAGAGGCCUUAUCACUGGCAGAAAAUAAUAUAUCUGUGCUGUUCAGAGAGAAAGAAGAGGCUCAAGUAAGUAAAACAGCUGCAGAGAUGGAUCUGGAGAAAGUGAAAGAAGAGGUUGCUAUUCAGACCAGCAAACUCACGGAGGCCUUCAAAACUAUAAAGUCACUUGAAGAUUCACUGUCUCAGGUAGAGACUAAUGUUGCUUUGCUGACUGAGCAAAAUAAUGAUGCACAAGUUGGUAGAACUAAUUUGGAGAAUGAGCUAAAGAAGCUGCAAGAGGAAACGGGGUCCCAAGCUAACAAGCUGGCAGAUUCAUAUGCAACAAUAGAAUCACUGGAAGAUGCGCUGUUGAGGGCAGAAGAUGAUAUUUCUGUACUUCAAGGUGUAAAGAAAAAUGCUGAAAAGGAACUAUUGUCACUUAAUUCCAAGUUAAAUGCAUGCAUGGAAGAGUUGGCUGGAACCAGUGGCAGUUUUGAAAGCAAAUCUAUAGAGCUUGCUGGACACCUUAACGAUCUUCAAGUGAUUAUGAAAGAUGAGACUCUGUUAUCAAGGGUAAAAGAAUGCUUUGAGAAGAAAUUUGAGAGCUUGAGAAAAAUGGAUCUCAUUCUUAAAAACAUAAAGACCCAUUUCGUAGAAGUGGAUUUAGAAGAGCUGCAAAGUCACCAUGUCAUGGAGGUAACCUUAUAUCAGCAUGUGUGUGUAUGCAUCAAAAUUUUUCUUGCUGAGUGAAUUUUUUUUUUUUUUUGGUUUUGGGGGGGGGUGGUGUCUGUGCAUGUUAUUUUGGUAAUCUCCAUAUGUGUGUACUUAGAUUUUGCCUUUUUGUACUUGAUUCUGUGACUAGUAAUUACCUUCACCUAUAUAAUCGUUAUGAGUGCAUCAACUUUAAUUAGCCAAUCUGUCUGGGUCUUUAAAUCAGAAUUGUUAGCAUUGACAAGGCAUUUUCAAUUAUAAUUAGAAUUGUCAAUGGAAAAGAAUAUACCACUGGUUUGAAAUAUGUAUGCUCAAGUGGAUUACUUGUUUGCUUUAAAAAACAGAUGACAGUUGCCAAUUUUUUGGUUCUUUAUUAGUGGUUGUGGAUCUCUCUUGCUAACUUGCUCUCUUUUUCUAUUUAAGAAUGCAGAAUGAAUCUAAAGCUUUUCUCUUUCUCCUAUCUAAUCUUUUCCAUCUUUUCUCUAAUUGGCUUGUUUUAUUUAUUCCAGGAUGAUUCAAUGGUUAUGAACUCUUUCUCAGAUAGCCUCAACAAUAUUGUUGAUGUUGAAAUUGAUAACAGCUGGGUGAGUGCUGCAGAUGGUGACAAUAUUUCUUCACAUUUUAGAAAGACUGUGGAAGGGUUCCAGUCGAGAAACAAAAUUAUUUAUGAUAAAGUUGAAGGAUUUUCAUCUUUUAUAGAUGAGUGUAUUGCAGGUUUGUUGAGAAAAUUACAGGAAACACAGGAUGGUGUAGUAUUUGUACUUGAGCACAUUGAAUCUUUGAAACAAAAAUCAAAGAAUCUGGAAAUGAUUCAACAGGAACAGGAGACCACUAUAGCCAUGUUAGAAAAUGAUGUUGCGACUUUGUUGUCUGCUUGUACUGAUGCUACAAGAGAACUGCAGAUUGAAGUGAAGAACAAUCUAUUGGAACUUAUCUCUGUUCCUGAGCUUGAGAAGUUGAACCAUACUUUGUCUUUAGAAAUGAGAGAGACUGAUGGAGAUGCCGCAGUUGAGCGGCAACAAAGGCUUGAUGGCAACAAACAUUUUGAUGCUGCAAAUAAGUUGUUAUUGGCAACUAGAAAAUUUCAAUCUCUGGUUAAACAGUUUGAUAGCACAAGUAAUGUGGCAGCCGCUACAGUUGAAGAAUUGCAAAAUAAAUUGAAACAAAGUAGAACAAGUCUUGAAAAUGCUAUUGAAGAAAGGGAUCUAAACCAAGAUAGAGUUUCCGAGCUAGAGAGUGAGGUAGAAGAAUUGCAAACUUCAUGCAGUGAGCUGAGGCUUAAACUAAAUGAUUCUCAUUCCAAAGAGGACAAGUUAAAGGAAAGAGAGGCAGAAAUUUCCUCGCUGUCCAAUACUUUGUUAAUGAAAGGAAAAGGUAAACAUCUUUGAUGGGAUCUUGCUGCACAAAUCUAUUUUGGUUGUUAUUAUUUUGUCAUUUUUCUUCUGACUUCUUUGUUCAUAUUUGUUGUUUCAGAGGCAGAAGACUCCCUUCUGUCAGCAUCCCAAGUGAAAACACUCCUUGACAAAAUUGGAGGGAUUGAAAUCCCUAUGGCAGAGUCAGAAGUUGGAGACCUGGUGCCCCAUAAUUCUGCUCACGUAAAGAAGCUCUUUUACAUUAUUGAUACUGUUACUGAGUUGCAGCAGCAAGUGAGGUUAUUGUCUCAUGACAAAGAAGAGCUGCAAUCAACAAUUACAACACAGAUUCUGGAAAUUGAGCAUCUCAAGGAGGAAGUUGAGAAACUUGUCAGGGACAGACAAGAUUCCGAAAAAGUGAAGGAUGAACUGUUUGAACUCACUUUUGGUUUGGAGAAAAUUAUAGGUAUUUUAGGAGGUGAAUUGUUUGACCAAAAAUCUGCUGGUGUCAAGGGACUUCUGUCAGUAUUAGAAAAGCAGGUUGUGACCAUGCCUUUGGAAUUGGAAAAUUCAAAAUCAAAAGCUCAGGAGCUUGGCACAAAGUUGCUUGCAAGCCAAAAGGUUGUGGAUGAAUUGUCAAUCAAAGUUAAAGUUCUUGAAGACUCACUUCAAGAUAGGAGUGCUCAGACAGAGAUCGUUCAGGAAAGGAGCAUCUUUGAAGCUCCCUCAUUGCCUACAGGGUCCGAGAUAUCUGAAAUUGAAGAUGCGGUAAUUAUUGAAUUACAUGAUUUUUUAAUAUAAUUUUCUUCAUGCAUGAUAUUUUUGUUUCUCUGAACAAAGUUUUCACGGAUAAAUUUUAAGCAAACUGUGUUGGUUUUUGGAUCUCAAAUGACCUUAGGUUCAGGUCUUGCAGAUGUUCCAGUUAGACAAAUUAGAUUAAUUAAUAUAUUCUAUACAUAUAUCUGUACUGCCUACAGAGUGUCGUUUUUCGGUGAUCUAUGUGACCAACCUAAUUGUUAAAACUUUCCAUUGGAAAAGUUAAAGCUUUCUUCAAUCCUUUUUCUUGUUCUCUCUUCCCCAAUGAAUUUCAAAACUUUAGUUGGAUAUUGAAAAAAGAAAGAUGUAGUUCAGGCAAAGGAGUAAUGAUAUGUAACACAAUUUGGGUAGACUUGCUGUUGGGUGACUCAAAAUUUUCCUCUCCAAAUAAUAGAGAAGAUGCCUGUAUAAAGCAUUGCUUGCCAUAUGCAGGGCUCACUUGGGCAGACUACAAAAUCUCCUGUCCCGCCAGCCACUGUUGCAAGAACUGUGCGAAAGGGUUCAGCUGAGCAUCUUGCAAUCAAUGUUGAUGUGGAAUCUGAACGUUUGAUCAACAAUGAGGGAAGUGAUGAGGACAAAGGUUUGCAUUCUAUCUCAUCUUCAUCUAAAUAUUCAGUUUAGAAAGCUCAGGUAAUUGACGUAUUUUUUUUCUCUUAUCCAGGUCAUGUAUUCAAGUCUCUGAACACGUCAGGUCUCAUUCCAAAACAAGGAAAGUUGAUUGCGGAUCGAGUUGAUGGAAUCUGGUAACAUGCCAUAUCAUCUGCUUUAGUUUAUGUUUCAAUUACUGUAUUGAAAGUUGGAACCUAAUCUACUAACUGGCAAUAAAGUCAUAACUGAGUUGGAUUAUGUUCUAUAUACAGACUUGAUACUAAGUUUCUUUUUAAUCUGUACAUGCAGGGUAUCUGGUGGUCGACUUUUGAUGAGUCGUCCCCAAGCAAGGCUAGGCCUUAUUGCCUAUUCACUCUUAUUGCAUAUAUGGCUGUUGGCAACAAUUUUGUGACUAAUUCUUUGAUCAUCUGUUCUCUGGAUCAUACCGCAACGAUAUUCUUAGUCUGCAAGUUGUAUCAUAGAUAAAUAACAUUUCUAUUUUUUUCCCAUUCUUUUAUGGUCACGGUGGUUAACGUGUUCAUAUUUUACAUAUCACCUUAUUGAUUCUCUGAAAUCAUAUUUUUUUAGGGGUUCAGGGAAUACAUGCCUCUCUGCUUUUAGAGAGAUGUAUCACUUUAGUUACUUAAUAAGUCUUUUGUCCUGUUGGAAUAUUGAGCUAUAGUUUCAAGUUUGGUAGAUAAACAUGAAAUGUAAGUGGUGACACCAUAUGUUCUAGACUUCUAGUAUCUCUGUGUUAACUAUGCGGACUUUGAGGAUUGGUACUGAGACUGAGAAUGAUCUUCAUUGAAAUCGGAAAUUAUUUCUGAAAUAUUUUAAUUAUCUACAACUUAUUGUUGAGCAAAUUAAAACUCAUAGUUAUCCAAUUUAAUUCCAAUGAGCACCGAGAGAUAUUUGAAUCUCAAUUUUGCCUAUCUGGACUAAAUUCUGAAUACAAAUAUUAACUUGUACUAUGUUGUUAAUUCAAGAAUUGUAAACCAAAAAAAAAAAAAAAAACUACAAAAUUAAAUAUCUAUUUAUAUUACAGAAGUUAAUUUCUUCUUAAGGGUAUUUUUUUUAUAAAUAAAAUUGGAUUUAAUACGUAUUAGUCAUAUCUACUUUUUUUUUUUUUUUUCCUUGAAACGUAUGGAGUGGACGAGGAUUAUUCAAAAAUAACCAUUUAAAUUUUUUUUUUUUUUAAAAUAGAGGAUUGAGAUUGAGAGAAGCUCUCGUUUGGUCCUUGAAUAUCCUUGAAUAUUCUGAAUUCCCAAAACUAUCCCCCAAAUGGCCACGUGGCGACAGCUGAAAAUUUAGACACAGAGUAAACAAACGGUUGGGAAGAGUUGAACUCAGUUGUUCAAUGUUCUCAGUUCUUACUUUCUCAGCCUCAGGGAAUUUGAACAUCUUUCUUCUGCUUUUCCCAGCAAAACUCAAAUAAGGUUUGGUUUUCUCUGAAUUCCAGUUGCUUUACCAAAAAAAUAUAGAGCUUACUUUCUUUACCCAUUUCUUUUCUCUUUAUAAUUGAAGUAGUAGUUGGAAUUUAACAGACAUCCAAAGUGAAGUGCACCCAUUUGGAUUUUGAAGCUGCUAUCUUUAUAUAUAUAUAUAUAUAUGGGUUUGCUCACUAUAAACUGUUGGUGGACCAGAACAAACAAUUUCUCUACAACCCUCUUUCCUUACAGAGCAUCUGCCUUCAUGGGUUAGUUUUUUCAAACCCCUUUAAUUUAUUUCUCUCUCUCUCUCUUAAUGUUUUGCUAAGUUUAUAUUGCACAAACACACACACACACACACAUAUAUAAAGAACAGUUAUUUGUAUGUUAUUCUUAAACAUUUCCAUUAAGGCAGAUAGGGGGUUGUGCGUUGAUCAUUCGUUUUGGUUCAUGCAUAUAAGAGUUGGGUCAGACGUUGCUCCUUAUAAAGCCUUAUUUAGUGUUGGUGUUUAAUUUCCCAAAUGUUGUGGUUGCAGCACAAUGAUAGUGAUAUUUUGUUGGUCCUAUAUAUGGACCUGGGAUGUUAUUAUGUAGGUUUGCAAAUAUGGGAGGGGAUGUAUGAGACUUGGGUCUUAAGUCUUGACUGUGUAUUAGGAAGAAAUUACUUUAUAAUAGCACAGAGGGAUCGAAUCAAAUGAGGAAGGGACAAGAACUAGUCCUCGUUUAGGCUUUGUACUACAAAUGAUGGAAUAUUUCAUAAUUUCAUUCUGUUUUUUUUUUUUUUUUUUCUUGGUUGCUUUAUUUUAUGAAGUACAAUAACAAUGCAACCUCAAGAUGCUAUUCUAUUCUGAAAUUCUACACUAACAUUACAAUCUUAAUAGCAAGCUGCCCCAUCUAACAGCAUUGACAUAUUCCUAGCUGAGAAGCUCUAUUUUUAGUCUUGCAGUAUUUCAUUUUCCAUUGACAAUGUACUUGUUAUUUGUUAAAUGCUUAAUUUUUGUAUGACUGUCCAAAUGUGAUUACAUGUGAUUAGGCGGGAAGUUUAUUCACCUCUCUGAUGCGGAACGGGUUGUACUUUCUACAUUGCACAGUGUAAUAUUCUCUUCUUUUUAGCAAUUUGAUGUUAAAUCUGAGAAAAAUUGUAGAACUUUUGUUUUUCUAUCAUCUCACACUAAUAUCAUUCUUUUUGCAGGGUUUUAGAUUUGAUACAAGGGCUUUUGCAAGCCGGAAUUCAGUGAAGAAAUUGAGAAGAAAUAGACAACCACCUGAAAUUGUAGCAGAUAUUCCUCCCACAAAAGAUGAUUAUGUUCAAGAUGAAAAUUCAGCUUCCUCUUUUGAAAAUUCAGUUGAUCAGAAUUCUACAAUAAAGCCUUCCAGGAGUACUGUGCUUCAGGCAUGUACCAUCACUUCUGGAUUAAUAGCGGCUUUGGGUAUAAUACUUCGUCAGGUAUGCUUACUCUCAUGCAUCAACUACCUUGGCAUUCUGCUCUAUUUUUGUCUAAGACUGAUAUCUCUGGGACUGUAAGAAGCCACCUAGUCAUACUCGUCAUAUCCCCACCGUUUUGGUUUCUCGUUGUGUUAUUUGAAUUAAAUGUGUUCGCUUCCUCCUUUUUUACCUUGUGGAUUCUUCCUUUUUUCUCUUUAGAUUGAAUCACUACUUAAGAGUGGAAUCAAAAUUGUGAGACAACUUCAGAAGUUUGAAUUAGGAAUAUUUUUUUUUAUGAUGAUCUAAAUGCGCUACACCCAGUUCCCCCUUUCUUUAUCCUCUUGUUUGUGACAAACAAUGCAUCCUUGUAUCCACUUAUAAUGUGCGAGUAAUGUUCUGUGAUAUUGUUUAAUAGCAAUCAGCGCCGUAGGACUUUUUUACUAUUUAAUUUCAAUAUUUUUUGUUCACACCAAACACCAGUCACAAAACUUUGUUACUCAAUGCUAAGCUCUUGGUUUUAGUCGGGAAGUGUCACUUUGGAGUAAAGGAGAAUUCUCAAUUUCACUAAAAUAAAAAUUAAAAAAUUUCAUGGGCAACAUUAUGUUUGGUCAAUCAUCUGGAUCUUAAUUUUUUUCUCUAAUUGCUAUUUGCAGGUAUCCCAUGUUGCAUCAGUGGAAGGAUUGCCAAUCCUUGACUGCUCUGCAGAAGUAUCAUGUAUAAAUUUUGUGUUCUCUUCUUAUUGCAAAUUUUUCAUUGACUUUUUUUAUUGUUCUCCCUUUUCAGAUUCAACAUCCUGCUUCUUUCCACAGAAUGCAAAGAGACAUUUUCUUGGAAAAUAAAUUUUUGGAAAACUGAGCAGACAGGAUAGUGAAAAUCAUCUAAAAUGAGUAGUUGUCCUAAAAGGCUAAAACAUGAUUAACAUUUCUGGGAAACAGCCAAUCAGCCAAUGGCAAUGGAAUAGCAGACACCAAAUGCAAAUCAAAUUAUUGGUUUUGUUUUUCUAGAUUUUGAAAGCUCAAUUGUACUUUCUCAUGGAUAUGAAAUUUAAUUUUGGGUUUUGAUUUUCAAAAAAGAUUUUACUAGAAUAAUCAAAAUUUGCUCAUUUUUCAAAUCUGCAAAAAGGAUUAGAAAUCUAUGGAAAUAUAGAAUAUGCUGAUGCUUUAUUAAAAUAAUUUUCCUGAUAAUUAUAUAAUGCGGAGAAUGUCAUUCUAAUAUGGAUCAUCUUUCCAUAUUCUAUAUUUUAUUUUUAUACAUCCUUUUUGCCUCUUUUGUUGUAGAUUGGAAUUGGGCAAUUCAAUGACUUAAAAGAGUGUCAUGUUUUCCCCAUGUACAGUUGGUUUUGAGAUGUGGCAUCUUGAGUUGAUUACAGGAAUAGUUGUAUUGAUAUCAUCAAGCCGAUAUCUACUACUGAAGACAUGGCCAGAUUUUGCUGAGUCUAGUGAAGCAGCCAAUCAGCAGGUAGCUGUACUGAUUUUCCUAACUGUCUCUAGAGGGACUCGUACAUAUCAUUUAAUUUUUGUAAUGAAUUAG
rnacentral:sRNA from 1 species